CACGUAGGAGCCAAGCGUUAUCCGAAUUCACUGGGCGUAAAGCGCGUGCAGGCGGCUCGGUAAGUUGGAUGUGAAAUCUCCUGGCUCAACUGGGAGAGGCCGUUCAAUACUGUCAGGCUAGAGGGCAGCAGAGGGAGGUGGAAUUCCCGGUGUAGUGGUGAAAUGCGUAGAUAUCGGGAGGAACACCAGUGGCGAAGGCGGCCUCCUGGGCUGCACCUGACGCUCAGACGCGAAAGCUAGGGGAGCGAACGGG
rnacentral:rRNA from 1 species